rnacentral:rRNA from 1 species
ACUCCUACGGGAGGCAGCAGUGGGGAAUAUUGGACAAUGGGCGCAAGCCUGAUCCAGCCAUGCCGCGUGAGUGAUGAAGGCCCUAGGGUUGUAAAGCUCUUUCACCGGUGAAGAUAAUGACGGUAACCGGAGAAGAAGCCCCGGCUAACUUCGUGCCAGCAGCCGCGGUAAUACGAAGGGGGCUAGCGUUGUUCGGAUUUACUGGGCGUAAAGCGCACGUAGGCGGACUAUUAAGUCAGGGGUGAAAUCCCGGGGCUCAACCCCGGAACUGCCUUUGAUACUGGUAGUCUGGAGUUCGAGAGAGGUGAGUGGAAUUCCGAGUGUAGAGGUGAAAUUCGUAGAUAUUCGGAGGAACACCAGUGGCGAAGGCGGCUCACUGGCUCGAUACUGACGCUGAGGUGCGAAAGCGUGGGGAGCAAACAGGAUUAGAAACCCUAGUAGUCCCAUGAU